rnacentral:rRNA from 1 species
AACGAACGCUGGCGGCAGGCCUAACACAUGCAAGUCGAACGCACCGCAAGGUGAGUGGCGCGCGGGUGAGUAACACGUGGGAAUGUACCCUUUGGUUCGGAAUAACGUUUGGAAACGAACGCUAAUACCGGAUGAGCCCUACGGGGGAAAGAUUUAUAGCCAAAGGAGCAGCCCGCGUCUGAUUAGCUAGUUGGCGGGGUAAAGGCCUACCAAGGCGACGAUCAGUAGCUGGUCUGAGAGGAUGAUCAGCCACACUGGGACUGAGACACGGCCCAGACUCCUACGGGAGGCAGCAGUGGGGAAUAUUGGACAAUGGGCGGAAGCCUGAUCCAGCCAUGCCGCGUGAGUGAUGCAGGCCUUCGGGUUGUAAAGCUCUUUCGCACACGACGAUGAUGACGGUAGUGUGAGAAGAAGCCCCGGCUAACUUCGUGCCAGCCGCCGCGGUAAGAC